UACGUAGGGUGCGAGCGUUAAUCGGAAUUACUGGGCGUAAAGCGUGCGCAGGCGGUGAUGUAAGACAGUUGUGAAAUCCCCGGGCUCAACCUGGGAACUGCAUCUGUGACUGCAUCGCUGGAGUGCAGCAGAGGGGGAUGGAAUUCCGCGUGUAGCAGUGAAAUGCGUAGAUAUGCGGAGGAACACCGAUGGCGAAGGCAAUCCCCUGGGCCUGCACUGACGCUCAUGCACGAAAGCGUGGGGAGCAAACAGG
rnacentral:rRNA from 1 species